rnacentral:misc_RNA from 1 species
GAAGGAGACAACAGUGGUGUUACUCAAUUCCUCACUCAAAUUGAAAUUCUAGGGUGGGGAGAUAACAAAUUCUGUAGGUUAGAGAGGAGGUGAGUGCUUGGUGACCAAGAACUAAUCGAGAAUAGGAAGAUUUAGAUGGUGAAAUUCAUGGUUUUUGCCCUAAACACUGUUGCUGAACUCCUCCCUUAUUUCCCCAAAAAAAAU